rnacentral:lncRNA from 1 species
CCGCGGGGCCGUCGGUCCUUGCUGCUUUGGGAACGGCGACCUCCUGCUUCCCGGCGCUGGCCUGCUGAAACGUGGAAAUACGUGAUCCAAAUCUGAGCGAACUGACUGCAGAUGUUUUUGUUGACUUUAUAGACUUUGAUUAUAUCUUUGAUACAAGAGAAUCCGCCCUGCAGGACGGGAGUGUAAUUCCAUCAAGGACUUCUGGUGACCUCAUAAACCAUGAGAGCUGGCAUUGACUUUAAUGGGCACCACGUGGUUAAGUUCCCAUGCAUCAUUUUGAAAAUCAGCAAGACCCUGAACUCCAGUUGUAUGAAGAGAGGGGCAGGCAGAGCCAGUGGUGUCAAAAACCCUCACGAUGGUGAAGGCUGCAAGAUUCUGACUUCUGGUAUAAGGCAAACAGCUCCUGCUCUGCCUGCAGUUUGGCAACUACAGAUCAAGGUCAGUGUUCUGGUUGCAGACAAGGGGCUGAGAGCUGUGCCUGAAGCACAACCCAGGCUUGCUGAGUCUUAGCCCCAGC